GAAUCCCUUGAUUUUCGAGCACUGUUCGUUUCCUCGGCGGGCCUGCCCGCCAGCGAGGACACCCAAAACCCUUUGCAAACGCAGUAUCUGUCUGAGAAAGCAAGCAAAAAUUAAAACUUUCAACAAUGGAUCUCUUGGUUCUGGCAUCGAUGAAGAACGCAGCGAAAUGCGAUAAGUAGUGUGAAUUGCAGAAUUCCGUGAAUCAUCGAAUCUUUGAACGCACAUUGCGCCCUUUGGUAUUCCAUAGGGCAUGCCUGUUCGAGCGUCAUUUAACCCUUCAAGCCUAGCUUGGUGCUGGGCGUCUGCCCCCGCGUACGCGCGAGGGCUCGCCUCAAAGUCAUUGGCAGCUGAGAUACCGGCCCCGAGCGCAGCACAAUGCGUCCUCGACCCGCGUAGCUCGGCGUCCACGAAGCCCAUUCUUCCUUUUUGACCUCGGAUCAGGUAGGGAUACCCGCUGAACUUAAGCAUAUC
rnacentral:rRNA from 1 species